CCUACGGGGGGCAGCAGUGGGGAAUAUUGGACAAUGGGGGCAACCCUGAUCCAGCCAUGCCGCGUGUGCGAAGAAGGCCCUCGGGUUGUAAAGCACUUUCAGUGAGGAAGAACGCCUGGUGGUUAAUACCCAUCAGGAAAGACAUCACUCACAGAAGAAGCACCGGCUAACUCCGUGCCAGCAGCCGCGGUAAUACGGAGGGUGCGAGCGUUAAUCGGAAUUACUGGGCGUAAAGCGCGCGUAGGUGGCUUGAUAAGCCGGUUGUGAAAGCCCCGGGCUCAACCUGGGAACGGCAUCCGGAACUGUCAAGCUAGAGUGCAGGAGAGGAAGGUAGAAUUCCCGGUGUAGAGGUGAAAUGCGUAGAGAUCGGGAGGAAUACCAGUGGCGAAGGCGGCCUUCUGGACUGACACUGACACUGAGGUGCGAAAGCGUGGGUAGCAAACAGGAUUAGAUACCCCAGUAGUC
rnacentral:rRNA from 1 species